rnacentral:rRNA from 1 species
CCUACGGGUGGCAGCAGUGGGGAAUAUUGCACAAUGGGGGGAACCCUGAUGCAGCGACGCCGCGUGGGUGAGGAAGUACUUCGGUAUGUAAAGCCCUAUCAGCAGGGAAGAAAAUGACGGUACCUGACUAAGAAGCCCCGGCUAACUACGUGCCAGCAGCCGCGGUAAUACGUAGGGGGCAAGCGUUAUCCGGAUUUACUGGGUGGAAAGGGAGCGUAGACGGCGUGCCAAGUCUGAUGUGAAAGGCCGGGGCUCAACCCCGGGACGGCAUUGGAAACGGGCAUGCUGGAGUGCCGGAGGGGCAAGCGGAAUUCCUAGUGUAGCGGUGGACUGCGUCGCUAUUCGGCGGACCACCGGUGGCGAAGGCGGCUUGCUGGACGGUAACUGACGUUGCGGCUCGAAAGCGUGGGGAGCACACAGGAUUAGAUACCCUAGUAGUC